UAAAAAUCGAAAAUGGAAGGCCAAGCGACAAUGCGGACGCUUUUAGCCGCCGGUGGAACCUAAGCUUAAGAUUCUUCUCCUCCAUUAAAUUUUGCACGAAUAUCAGAAUAUUAAAUAAGAGAAUCUCGAUUCUCAAUCUGCCCUCUCAAAUUCCUCGAAUUUUCUCGACUCUCUGAAAAGUUGUCGGUCCGGUGGCGUUUCGCGGAAGCGAAGUUUCUCCGGAUCAAAUUCCAAUUAUCAUAUAAAAACAGAGAAGAGAGAGUAUGGAAAAUGUUUUUACGGAACUUUUUAGUUUCUCCCAGAUUUUGAAGCCGAAGAGUUCCCAAAGAAAGACAUGUUGUGUAGGAUGGUACUGCUGCCCCGG
rnacentral:misc_RNA from 1 species